rnacentral:piRNA from 1 species
UAAUAUUACAAAAAAUUUAAA